rnacentral:tRNA from 1 species
GCGGAGAUGGCGGAACUGGCAGACGCGUACGUUUGAGGGGCGUAUGGGAUCUCCCGUGCGGGUUCGAUUCCCGCUCUCCGCACCA